AUGAGAUAUAAAGUCAUAAUAUGUGAUAAAUUUAAACAUGUGAUAAGUUGAUGCGUACUAAGAUGUCUUCAUGAGAUAAAGACAAAAUCAACAUAAAAGGCUGAAAUUUAGAUAUAAAUGACAAAACAAAUUUCACUUUUCAUGUCAUUUCUGCUGCAUAUGUGCUGGAAAGAAAGUUCCAUAAUAUGAAGAUGAAUAAAUAAUGACCGAAUUUUCAUUUUAGGGUGUCCUGAGCUUAUAAAGUUGCGAUCUACUGUAAAGCAAGAAGAAGAAGAUGCGUCAGGCGCUGGCUGUUGAGAACGCAUUCAGGAUGCGCUCAGGACAGUUCUUAGUUUGAUACUGAAGAAACAAAGUCACCUACAUGUUGGAUGCACUGCGGGCUGCACUAUCUAAUUCUGCAAUGUGGGAGCUCAUGCUAAGGAUUAGCAUUAGUCAGGGGUUGUCCUGCAGAGAGAAAACUGAACAUUGGUAUAAAUAUCAAAGGCAUGACUGUGUGUGACACUGACAAAUUGCAGUUGAGGUGCCAUUAAUUAAACGGGAUCAGUAAUGUGUGUUUAAAUGAAUUUACUGUUGCAUUAUUGAUUCACUCGCCACACAAAUUAUCUUUCGAGGUGCAUAUGGAGGUUGCGGGUCUGGCUCCCCGUGAAGGAUUUGUCAGGGUGAGGUCUGUGGACGUCAUCUAGGCCUAAGGAUGUAUCCUUCUCCAUUUAUCUGGCAAGGAAAGCCUGGGGGGAUAGAGGGGGGUGGCGGAGCUUGCCGGCUUUGUUUGCAUUCAAACUGCAGAUAACAAGGAAGCCCGAGCGGCGGCUCAGAGAAUUCACUGGCGCUGCCCAUGCUGCCAGACUGAACGGUGAAUUAGAGAGGAAAACACUGGCAGCAUGCUGAAGCUUCCUCUAUCUGUGUUUAUUUUGCCUAUACAAACCAUUUGGGUGCAAGAUUAAUCUGUCUUUACCUUGUCGGCAUGCGGAAAAUAGAUUUAUCGAGGAGGUGGAAUUGAAAUGAUUGCUUUUCUUUCCUCUUUCUAAUGUAAUAAAUGAAUGCAAAUUCUAAAUUUAAUCAGACCAUAAAAGCACAUAGCUAACAAAGCCCCUCACAGCUCUAACACAGAUCUGAAUUAUGUUCGUUUACAUCUAUACAGGCUCUGCAAUGCAUUAAACUCCAACAUAGGCCUGUGACAUUUUCUUUGCAUUGUUCCUGAGGGCGAGAUCGAGUCUGUCCAUGCAUCCCAGCAUGCCCCAGGGCCCUGGCUGAGCGAGGUAGAAAGCGCAUUAACACGCAGCAAUUUGUCAGGACAUCAGUCCUCUCUGAAUUGCAGUACAUUGACUGGUACACAAUGCACCAAAGGCAAGUGCUCUGACUCGAUAAAAGUGAAUGAAGCCCUCUCCUAGAUGUUCGCUCUUUCUAAUUUCCUGUAAUGGACUUUUGUAUGCUAUGAGAUUUGAUUUAAGUUGAAGCGGUUGGUUUUAGGAGUCUGUUAGCUGGUUUGCUUUUGCUCUAAUUGUUUCAGAGUAAUUCAAAAGUGGUGUGGAAAAUGCUGCUGCCUUUCAGCUGAGUGUUUAUAAUCAGAGACACAGAGUAUAUAAAUAUUAACCGUUUGCCAACUUUACCACCUACUUUAAGUAUCACUUCAUUCAUAAUCUUCUCUUCUUAUAUUUCUGAUAAACGUGUUCAGUUUUAUUAGAAUAAAAGUGUAAUGUCAUCACUUGUGGGUAAGUUUACAGGUAUACAGAGGAAUAUUGCCAAUUUCUUAGUCUGCAGCAGUUUGUCAGUAUUAAAUGCACAACAAUAUAAAUAAUUCACAUUUUAUAUGUAAACAUUUGUAUUGGCAUUUUGCUUGGGUACAUGAUUGGUGUCCUUAACUAACCACAGAAAUAACUUAC